rnacentral:rRNA from 1 species
GAUGAACGCUGGCGGCGUGCCUAAUACAUGCAAGUCGAACGCUUUGUCUUUAAUUGAUCUGACGAGCUUGCUCUGAUGUGAUUUUAUCUGACAAAGAGUGGCGAACGGGUGAGUAACACGUGGGUAACCUGCCUCUUAGCAGGGGAGAACAUUUGGAAACAAGUGCUAAUACCGUAUAAUACCAACAACCGAAUGGUUGUUGGUUGAAAGAUGGUUCUGCUAUCACUAAGAGAUGGAUCCGCGGUGCAUUAGCUAGUUGGUAAGGUAACGGCUUACCAAGGCGAUGAUGCAUAGCCGAGUUGAGAGACUGAUCGGCCCCAAUGGGACUGAGACACGGCCCAUACUCCUACGGGAGGCAGCAGUAGGGAAUCUUCCACAACGGGCGCAAGCCUGAUGGAGCAACGCCGCGUGUGUGAUGAAGGGUUUCGGCUCGUAAAACACUGUUAUAAGAGAAGAACGGCACUGAGAGUAACUGUUCAGUGUGUGACGGUAUCUUACCAGAAAGGAACGGCUAAAUACGUGCCAGCCGCCGCGGUAAAAC